ensembl:lncRNA
UUUUUUUAUUAUUUUUUUUUUUUAAGAAAUAUAGAAAUACUUAAAAUGAAACUUCAUAACAUCUAUUUUCACUUAGUAUAUAACAAAAACUUGGAGAAGGUGGGGAGGAAAGGAUGAAGUCACUCAACCUCUAAGCAUCAUCUAGUUGACCACCCACAAUCAGUCCAAUUUUAGCACUGUGAGAUCCCCAACAAUCAGUCACAAAUAGCACAUCCUAUUACUUUCCAGUCUGUUAAAGCUUGUUUGUGAAACCGAAAAAGUAACAUCCUCAAGCUGCCUUAGCUUAGAUACAAAGAGCUAAGACUAGAAACGUGCAUACUCCUAAUAUAAACGGAAUUAUUUGACGGUUACAUUAGCAUUCAGAUUCAUGACACUGGUCUGCUAGAUUUAAUGCAGCAAGACUAGUCAAGGAUUAAACAAUCUGUUACCAAGGGAAUAACCAACAUUUCCUGAAAGAUCCACUGAGAAUCCAUACAGUCAACAUAUGGAGGGACUAAAAAGAUAAAUGGAAAGAUUUGAAGCAUAAACUAUACACAGAAAAACUAAAUACUAAAAACACAAACGGAAAACAUUUUGUUGAUAGUAAAAUGCACAUAAAAGACCUGAACAUGUAUCUGCAAUAUUUGCUACAACGUUCUACUUUGUCCCAGAGCACCAACAAUAUCUGAGUUAAUAUAGUUAAACAUAACACCGCAAGAGUAGGAAUCUCUUUAGGAUAAUUAACAUAUUCAGAAAAUGACUAAUAUAAGCAUACCCUGAAAAUUCUGAAUGUACAAAAACAGUUCAAAUGUUGUUAUAAACAAAACCUUCAGUUUAAUAACUUCUUUCACUCUUUUUUUUUCUCUCCUUUACACAGUCUAAUAUGAAAAUACAGUCUAAAACCAGAAAAGCUGCACAACCACUGAGAUAUUAUCAUCAUAUUCUCAGGACCAGAAAUCCAACAACAUUUCUGGUAGGUUACUUUAGAAGUUUCAUUUCUCUCCUGAAGUCCUGAGUUCUAAGAGUCUUAAGUAAUGAUUUGUCUGUUUUAAAUGAAUACAGGUAAGUGUUUAGAUUUUAGGCAUUAGGUAAAAAAAAAUCCUACUAGUCUUUGCCUCCACUAAGUUGGUGGAUGGCCAAAAUAAUUCUAAAUGUACUAAAAACCCUUAAAAUGACCUGACAACCACCAAGUGACAGUUCCCAAGUCAACCUUUGCCAAGAUCUAAUAAAAUGAACUGUGAUCUUUUGUAUCUCUUGUACCUUCCAAAUACUUCAUACAUGAAGGAUCUAAUGGGAGCUAAGUCAGCUUUAUUACUAUAUAUUGGAAAUCCAUAUUAAAAGAUUCCCUCCAAAGAAUUUUUACAGCCACUUCAUGCUACAGGAAACCUCUGAAGACUCUUCCUUAUUUCUCAAUUGUUCACUGGUAAAAAAAACUUCAGAAAUUUUAUUUAAAAGGAAGUUACAGUGCCCAUAUUAAAAACUGUUUACUUCUAAUGUUGGAGAGAAAAGAUUGUUACAGUCCAGGAGCCAGCAGAAUUAUCCGGCACUGGCUUAAGAGGAAGAAAUUAGUUCAGUUGUAAGAGAAAUAUAGGCAAGCUCAAUUGAUAUACCACAAUGGAUUUGACAUAUUGCGAGCAAAUAAACUCCUUAAGAAUAUUUUGUCUUGAUUGGUUUUGUCUUGAUGUAUUUAGUAUUACAGCUGCUCAUAAUACACUUAAUGACUCACAUCUAGAAGCUACAAAAGCACAUUAAAUAUCUACAGCAAUUUAAAGUUUUCUGGAAGAAAAGAAUAUUUCAUUCAUUGAUUUGUCAUUAAACAUAAGCAACAAACCUUUGAAGAUGACACACUGAGUUUUGGGGGAAGAGCUCCAGUCUUUUGGCUUCAUAAAACUGAGCGGUGUAGCUUGGAGUAGUAUAGAAAAGUGUAACAGAAAGGCUAUCAAAAAUAUGUUGGCGUCAAAGGAGGCCUGAGUUCAAAACUUUAACAUGAAUUUGCUGUAGAAAAGCUGAAGCUGGAUCUGUUUCAGCUGAAAUUUCAGAUAAAUUUCCUAUCUCUGUCUUCACUGUGGCUGUUUGAAAAAAAUUAGGGAAAAUACUAUUUUCUUUCCAACUUAGAUGAACUUAUUUGCAUUGAUAGAAAACCCCGUAAAUUUUUGAGUAUGAAUUAAUCAUAUUUUUCUCCCUUCUCUUCAUGUUUCCUAAGGCAUUUCCCAGAUUUUGUGACUUAUAGCUGGUUUAGAAACUUUCCAUACACCCAUAAGCUACAAGGAUUCUUACUGUCCUUGCUUGUUUGCACUGAGGACCAUCCUGAGAAGACAUCUGCAUAUUUACUGGGAAACCUUAAUCCAGCUUGUUCUUGCUGGUUUGUUAGAAACUUCUGUUUCUAAGUAACUGGUGUUAGAUCAAACAAACAUUAUUUUGAAGUGACAGGAUUUUAUUUGUUUCAUCUGACUAAAAAAUGGUGAGCUCAAAAGGAUGAGUUUUUUAAGGCACAAGACUAAAAUGCUAUAAGUUUACUAAACCCAAGAUAUACUUGCGUCAAUACCAUUUUUUCCACAAAAACGUCAAAGAAACUUCACUAAAUGAGAUGAGAAGUAAAAUGGUGAAAUUGUCAUAAAAAUCUUCUUACCAUAACAUUUUCAUAUCUUUAAGUGUCUAGAUAAAAAAAAAAAGAACGGGGUUGCUAUGUUUAUGACUCCAUCAUCAUUCAGUCUCCUUGCUCUCAAGUAGCCAUCAAAGAAGAGGAAAAAUCUGUCAAUAGCUCGUGACCAAUGAAAAAAUCUGAAAGAAUCUUAUAUGUUUUAUUUGGCAGUUAUAAUUAUUCUAGGAUAACUGACAACAUUUUAAAAUUGAAUACAAAACUCCUGUGGGAAAUUUAUACCAACGAGUAAUAAACUGGCUGGACAGCAUUUUACUUCACUUGGUCUUCAUCUCACUCCAGGAAUAUAUAUAUUGCACUGUCUCCUCCAAUAAUUGGUGCAAGACACUGUCCUCAGCUUUUUAGCUUUCAAGGGGUUAACUGAGUAGCUCGAGAAACCAAGCAAGCACUUUGAUGCUAUCAUUUACUACUGAAGGGGGCCAAGAGGACAACUGAUAGCAUAUCCUCUUGCAAAUCCCCCAAGCUGAUAUUUCUGAAAUCUAAAAUGGAAGUUAUUUCUGUGGAGCCGAUGGAUUUGACUUUAAUAUUUUCUUAGCAUCCAUUUUCACACAGGUACUAGGAAAUACAUCAGACUCACUUGUCAUCUGGAUGAGACCUGGCUCUUCCUUUGGUUGAGACAACUGAGAUUGAAAGUUCCUUUAUGAGACAAAAAAAAAUCUUUUUCUUUCUUUUUUUUAAAUUUGAGAAGCUAUUUUUUUCACAUCAACACUUGGCUAGAAUAAUCUUUGACAAAUAAACUAUUCCAGGCCUUAAUAAGCUCUCAUACAGCAAGAAAAUGUAUGAGGAAAUUAAAUUCAAAUGCAAAACCAAGGCAGAACUGUCUUCUGCUUACUGGAGGAAAAUAUUACAAAAAAAAAAAACUGCAUCAAAUGAAAGUAAUGGUUUUAAGAGCUGUCAGCACAGCAAUGUUUAAAAUUUUUAUGCAAAAUACUAAAAUUUCACAUAUUUUUAUAUCUGUACUUAAAUAAGAGAAACAUGGAGCUACGGAGUACUUUCUCUUUGUCCCAUGGUUAGUUCUGGAUGGCUAUGCAGAGAAGUAAAACUCCUUGUAAUUUCAGUGCCAGGCCUAUAUGAAGCUAAUCCACUACUUCCUGAAGGAGGAGGAAAAGUUCCCAGUUCCAGCCCCUAGUUUGCUGGUUAGCCUGCCUGAGGGCUGGAAUGGUAAUUUUUAAUUG